rnacentral:rRNA from 1 species
GAUGAACGCUAGCGGCAGGCUUAAUACAUGCAAGUCGAGCGCCCCGCAAGGGGAGCGGCAGACGGGUGAGUAACGCGUGGGAACGUACCCUUUGCUACGGAAUAGCUCCGGGAAACUGGAAUUAAUACCGUAUGUGCCCUACGGGGGAAAGAUUUAUCGGCAAAGGAUCGGCCCGCGUUGGAUUAGCUAGUUGGUGGGGUAAUGGCCUACCAAGGCGACGAUCCAUAGCUGGUCUGAGAGGAUGAUCAGCCACAUUGGGACUGAGACACAGCCCAAACUCCUACGGGAGGCAGCAGUGGGGAAUAUUGGACAAUGGGCGCAAGCCUGAUCCAGCCAUGCCGCGUGAGUGAUGAAGGCCUUAGGGUUGUAAAGCUCUUUCACCGGAGAAGAUAAUGACGGUAUCCGGAGAAGAAGCCCCGGCUAACUUCGUGCCAGCCGCCGCAGUAAGAC